GUGCCAGCAGCCGCGGUAAUACGUAGGGUGCGAGCGUUAAUCGGAAUUACUGGGCGUAAAGCGUGCGCAGGCGGUUCUAUAAGACAGAUGUGAAAUCCCCGGGCUCAACCUGGGAAUGGCAUUUGUGACUGUAGAGCUAGAGUACGGUAGAGGGGGAUGGAAUUCCGCGUGUAGCAGUGAAAUGCGUAGAUAUGCGGAGGAACACCGAUGGCGAAGGCAAUCCCCUGGACCUGUACUGACGCUCAUGCACGAAAGCGUGGGGAGCAAACAGGAUUAGAUACCCUCGUAGUCC
rnacentral:rRNA from 1 species